rnacentral:rRNA from 1 species
CAGUCGCCGCGGUAAUACGGAGGGUGCAAGCGUUAAUCGGAAUUACUGGGCGUAAAGCGCACGCAGGCGGUCUGACAAGUCAGAUGUGAAAUCCCCGGGCUUAACCUGGGAACUGCAUUUGAAACUGUCAGGCUGGAGUCUUGUAGAGGGGGGUGGAAUUCCAGGUGUAGCGGUGAAAUGCGUAGAGAUCUGGAGGAAUACCGGUGGCGAAGGCGGCCCCCUGGACAAAGACUGACGCUCAGGUGCGAAAGCGUGGGGAGCAAACAGGAUUAGAUACCCCCGUAGUCCCUGUCCUUAUACA